rnacentral:rRNA from 1 species
UGGGGAAUAUUGCACAAUGGGGGAAACCCUGAUGCAGCGACGCCGCGUGAACGAAGAAGGUAUUCGUAUCGUAAAGUUCUGUCCUAUGGGAAGAUAAUGACAGUACCAUAGAAGAAAGCUCCGGUUAAAUACGUGCCAGCAGCCGCGGUAAUACGUAUGGAGCGAGCGUUGUCCGGAAUUAUUGGGCGUAAAGGGUACGCAGGCGGUUUAAUAAGUCGAAUGUUAAAGAUCGGGGCUCAACCCCGUAAAGCAUUGGAAACUGAUAAACUUGAGUAGUGGAGAGGAAAGUGGAAUUCCUAGUGUAGUGGUGAAAUACGUAGAUAUUAGGAGGAAUACCAGUAGCGAAGGCGACUUUCUGGACACAAACUGACGCUGAGGUACGAAAGCGUGGGGAGCAAACAGG